rnacentral:rRNA from 1 species
AUUGAACGCUGGCGGCGUGCUUAACACAUGCAAGUCGAUCGGUAACAGGUGUAGCAAUACAUGCUGACGAGAGGCGGACGGGUGAGUAAUGCUUGGGAUCUGCCUAUUGUGGGGGACAACCCGGGGGAAACUCGGGCUAAUACCGCAUACGCUCUACGGAGGAAAGCCGGGGACCGCAAGGCCUGGCGCUAAUAGAUGAGCCCAAGUCGGAUUAGCUAGUUGGUAGGGUAACGGCCUACCAAGGCGACAAUCCGUAGCUGGUCUGAGAGGACGACCAGCCACACCGGAACUGAGACACGGUCCGGACUCCUACGGGAGGCAGCAGU